AUUUGAGAAAUGAAGAACAGGUUGCAAUAAUCCAAGCUGGAACUGUGCUUGCCCUGUGUGAAAAGUGGCUGAAGCAGAUAGAAGGAACCGAGGCAGCCCUGACCCAGAAGAUGCUGGACCUGGAGAUGGAAAAGGACCUGUUCAGCAGGCAGAAGGGCUACCUGGAGGAGGAGCUGGACUACAGGAAGCAAGCGCUCGACCAG